UACGGGGGGGGGCAAGCGUUGUUCGGAAUUACUGGGCGUAAAGGGCUCGUAGGCGGCCAACUAAGUCAGACGUGAAAUCCCCAGGCUCAACCUGGGAACUGCGUCUGAUACUGGAUGGCUUGAAUUCGGGAGAGGGAUGCAGAAUUCCAGGUGUAGCGGUGAAAUGCGUAGAUAUCGGGAGGAACACCAGUGGCGAAGGCGACUACCUGGCCUGUUUCUUGACGCUGAGGCGCGAAAGCUAGGGGAGCAAACGGGG
rnacentral:rRNA from 1 species